UACGAAGGGGGGCUAGCGUUGUUCGGAAUUACUGGGCGUAAAGCGCGCGCAGGCGGCCUUUCAAGUCGGUGGUGAAAUCCCAGAGCUCAACUCUGGAAUUGCCAUCGAAACUGUAAGGCUUGGGUACGGGAGAGGUGAGUGGAAUUCCGAGUGUAGAGGUGAAAUUCGUAGAUAUUCGCAAGAACACCAGUGGCGAAGGCGGCCGACUGGUCCGGUUCUGACGCUGAGGCGCGAAAGCGUGGGGAGCAAACAGG
rnacentral:rRNA from 1 species